rnacentral:rRNA from 1 species
UACGAAGGGGGCUAGCGUUGUUCGGAUUUACUGGGCGUAAAGCGCGUGUAGGCGGGCCGGAAAGUUGGGGGUGAAAUCCCGAGGCUCAACCUCGGAACUGCCUCCAAAACUUCCAGCCUGGACUCAAGCAGAGGCAAGUGGAAUUGCGAGUGUAGAGGUGAAAUUCGUAGAUAUUCGCAGGAACACCAGUGGCGAAGGCGACUUGCUGGGCUUGUAGUGACGCUGAGACGCGAAAGCGUGGGGAGCAAAC